rnacentral:tmRNA from 1 species
GGGGGCGUCACGGAAUAGAUUGACGUUCUAUAAUAUAGCGGCAGGUCGAAGAUGUGUCAGGCUUCGCAAAAAGGCACAAAAGCUACAAAUGGCGAAAGUUAUAAUAGCAAUCCAGAGCUCCUUCCUUUCGAGGAAGAGCUCGCAAUGGCAGCUUAGAAGCUGUCUCCCUUGUCCUCUUGACGCAGAUAGAGUGAGGCAGGGGCCAUCAUCUGCAAACCAGAAAAGUUUUAUUGUCUUAUAAGCUGGCCAAAUAAUUUAAGGCAAACGUUCAAUGUUUAUAUUAAUAACGUAAAAGGAAAUAAACUAAACCUGUAGAAACUAUAUUAAAAAAACGGACAAGACGCGGGUUCGACUCCCGCCGCCUCCACCA